rnacentral:RNase_P_RNA from 1 species
GCUGGCCAGACGGUCGCGACAUUGUCGAGGAACGUCCGGGCUCCACAGGGCACGGUGGUGGGUAACGCCCACCCGGGGUAACCCGCGAGCAAGUGCAACAGAAAGUAAACCGCCCGAGGGGUAAGGGUGAAACGGUGGUGUAAGAGACCACCAGUGGGCGAAGUGAUUCGCUUAGCUAGGUAAACCUCACUGGGAGCAAGGUCAUGCAGAAGGCGUUUGAGAGCUGCUCGCUCGAGUCUUCGGGUGGACCGCUAGAAGGUUUCGGCAACGAAACUUCGAGAUAGAUGGCCGUCACCGAAAGGUACAGAACCCGGCGUAUCGGCCAGCCUC